CAGGAAGUAGUUUAAUAGCAAAAUAACGACAUUGGAAGUCGUAGAUAGGUGUGUCUUCUCUUUCUGA
rnacentral:tRNA from 1 species